rnacentral:pre_miRNA from 3 species
CAGCGCCGGGAAGUCUUCAAUUCCGUAGUGCAUUGCAGUUUGUCGAUUUAAUAAUUACUGCAAGCAUUGUGGAAAUGAUGAUUUUCUAGAGCACAAAUCA